CGUGCGGGAUGACGGCCUUCGGGUUGUAAACCGCUCUCAGCAGGGAAGAAGCUUUCGGGUGACGGUACCUGCAGAAGAAGCGCCGGCUAACUACGUGCCAGCAGCCGCGGUAAUACGUAGGGCGCAAGCGUUGUCCGGAAUUAUUGGGCGUAAAGAGCUCGUAGGCGGUUCGUCGCGUCUGCUGUGAAAUCCUCAGGCUCAACCUGGGGCGUGCAGUGGGUACGGGCGGACUAGAGUGCGGUAGGGGUGACUGGAAUUCCUGGUGUAGCGGUGGAAUGCGCAGAUAUCAGGAGGAACACCGAUGGCGAAGGCAGGUCACUGGGCCGCAACUGACGCUGAGGAGCGAAAGCAUGGGGAGCGAACAGGAUUAGAUACCCUGGUAGUCCAUGCCGUAAACGUUGGGCACUAGGUGUGGGGCCCAUUCCACGGGUUCCGUGCCGCAGCAAACGCAUUAAGUGCCCCGCCUGGGGAGUACGGCCGCAAGGCUAAAACUCAAAGAAAUUGACGGGGGCCCGCACAAGCGGCGGAGCAUGCGGAUUAAUUCGAUGCAACGCGAAGAACCUUACCAAGGCUUGACAUGCACCAGAAACCAUCAGAGAUGGUGGCUCCGUAAGGCUGGUGCACAGGUGGUGCAUGGUUGUCGUCAGCUCGUGUCGUGAGAUGUUGGGUUAAGUCCCGCAACGAGCGCAACCCUCGUCCCAUGUUGCCAGCGGGUUAUGCCGGGGACUCAUGGGAGACUGCCGGGGUCAACUCGGAGGAAGGUGGGGAUGACGUCAAAUCAUCAUGCCCCUUAUGUCUUGGGCUUCACGCAUGCUACAAUGGCCGGUACAGAGGGCUGCGAUGCCGCGAGGCGGAGCGAAUCCCAAAAAGCCGGUCUCAGUUCGGAUUGGGGUCUGCAACUCGACCCCAUGAAGUCGGAGUCGCUAGUAAUCGCAGAUCAGCAACGCUGCGGUGAAUACGUUCCCGGGCCUUGUACACACCGCCCGUCAAGUCAUGAAAGUUGGUAACACCCGAAGCCCAUGGCCCAACCCGCAAGGGGGGGAGUGGUCGAAGGUGGGACCUGGCGAUUAGGAACU
rnacentral:rRNA from 1 species